UCCCUGGUAGCUCAGAUGGUAAAGAAUCUGCCUGCAAUGCAGAAGACCCGGGUUCAAACCCUGGGUGGGAAA
rnacentral:tRNA from 1 species